rnacentral:rRNA from 1 species
UACAGGGGGGGGCAAGCGUUUGUUCGGAAUCAUUGGGCGUAAAGGGCGCGUAGGCGGGUUAGUAAGUUAAAAAGUGAAAUCCCAAGGCUCAACCUUGGAACUGCUUUUAAAACUGCUAGUCUAGAGAUUGAAAGAGGAUAGAGGAAUUCCUAGUGUAGAGGUGAAAUUCGUAAAUAUUAGGAGGAACACCAGUGGCGAAGGCGUCUAUCUGGUUCAAAUCUGACGCUGAGGCGCGAAGGCGUGGGGAGCAAACAGG